UUAAGUUCAGCGGGUAGUCCUACCAAUCUGAGGCCGAUGAAUUAUUAAAAUCCCUUCCGAGGCAAAGCUCGAUAUGGGCGGGUUUCAGAAGCACUCCAAACAGCAAGCCGUUGCGUCCAGCUCUUACCCAUCUCAACCUCUCCGAAGUCCUGAUAUUAUCAAAACCCGGCAGGGAAGAGAGAGCGAAAAUUGAGCUUUCG
rnacentral:misc_RNA from 1 species